AAAUUGAAGCCCUUGGCGUGAAAAGGGUACAAGCCACAAAACUAUAAAAAUCGAUAUUUUCUAUUUAAAUGAUUCGGGAAUAAGGGUACUAGCCAUACAAAAUUUAUUUUGACCAUUCUCUAACAGAUGGCGCUAGUGUGGUGAAGUGUCAUUUUUACAAUUUCUGCAGCACAUCGGUCAUUUUCAAGAAAAGGUUACAAGCCACCAUCAUGAGUGAACCACGUGCCGGGUGUUCUCGUGAUUUUUAUCAGUUUUCAAGGGAUUAAAGUGAAAAAAGUAACAGUGAUUGGGACUCAGAUGAUAGCAUAAAAGACAGGGAUUAUGUUGAAAGUGAAAAUGAAGAUAUUUCAUCGCCCUCCGAGCAGCAACAGGAAACCCCAAGAAAAAAAGCCGUGACGAACUUCCUACCCCUGA
rnacentral:lncRNA from 1 species